AGAUGUUUCAGAUGUAUAUCAGUUUCCCCUGCUAAGCUAGGCUAGCAGUUUCCCAUGGCGUCCAGUCUUUUCGCUAAGCUACGCUAGCACUUUUCCCCGGCUUCCAGUCUUUUCGCUAAGCUACGCUAGCAGUUUCCCCCGGCUUCCAGUCUUUUCGCUAAGCUACGUUAAUAGUUUCCCGGCUUCCAGUCUUUUUCCGAAGCUACGCUAUCAGUUCCCCGGCUUCCAAUCUUUUCACUAAGCUACGUUAGCAGUAACCCGGCUUCCAGUCUUUUUCGCUAAGCUACGCUAGCAGUUUCCCGGCUUCCAGUCUUUUCGCUAAGCUACGUUAGCAGUUUCCCCCGGCCUCCAGUCUUUUCGCUAAGCUAUGCUAAUGGUUUCCCCCGGCUUCCAGUCUUUUUCCGAAGCUACGCUAGCAGUUUCCCGGCUUCCAGUCUUUUCGCUAAGCUAUGCUAACCAUGUCCCGGACACAGAGAUGAAACUAAUAUGAAACAUCCGGUUCCACAAAACAUUUUAAAAACUGGAUUCCUGUAAACGUUGAACUCUUGUUGAAACUUUACAGCUCAGUCACUAACACGGUGCUCAGUCUGAUUGUGGCUCUGGAUGUCCCGGUGUGAUUCUAGCGUGUGUUUGGCGUGUAAAGCAGACACCCCUCCCCCCAGUAACUCAGCCUUACACUUCCCAUCAUCACCAGUUGUCUCAGUGUGGUGAAACAUGUUUUAAAUUUAAAUCUGAGUGACUUCUGUUGAGCAGUUGUUGGUUAUUUUAAUUCUUUUCUAUGACUUUUAUUUUCUUUCUAU